UUUGUUUUUGUUUGAGCCAAUCAGAUCACGUUGAUACUUGAUAUUCCACCUAAGAAUUAAACAGUCGGUUCCUGAGUACAGACGAGGUAUCUUAGUUACUGGCUUAAAGAUACAGCACAGAGGCCGUACUGACCAUGGAGGACAUAACUAUGAUGUUGUCCUUACUCUAAAGACAAAACAUGUGGAAUUUGAAACAAAUCUUUCCGUUACAUGUAUAGUAGAGCAUGAAUGUACGGUGAACUCGUGGUCGGUAAAGGAACAAAACGGAACAUACGAAACUAUAGUCAGAGAGUCAACACCAUUCAACAGAACAAAGUAUGGAGCACAACUGAGUAAAAUGGAAAGAAGGACCAUUUAUAUAUUGAUUAUUUAUCGUUUGGAAAAAAAUGAUGUACAUAAUGACUACCGCUGCGAUUGCGAUACUCACUCCGGAUACAUAACUGACAUGCAUGACAAACUUAUAUUUAAAAAGGAUACAAAGGGAACCAAAGAUUCAUCUCGUAAUAAUGUAGGACAUAUCUUGUUGGUUAUUGGUGGAAUAGUGAUUUUGUCAAUAAUAGUUUUUUUCUUAUACAAGCUGCUUAAGAAACGGAACAAGCAUUGAAGAAAGUUUAAAAUCUGAUGAUGUAGCUACAGGAAUGGAAUAAUGACAUUAAAAAGAAACAAAUUGAAGAGUUUAGUGACUAAUCAACAGAUACAUUUACAUUUUAAAGUGUGUGUGUUAAAAUUCAUUAUGUCAAUGUUUUUGGGCUGUUGCGAUUUUUUGUUACCUUUAUAGACAUAUGUUGGUGAUGAUUGUAUAAAAAAAUAUCCUUUUUUUUUCUCUGAGAAAAAUCGAACAUCUGUUUGAGGUGUGAAAAGAUUUUUUUUCAUUGGAAUGUCUAGAAUGGUAGUUGAUAAAAUCAUCAUAGACACCAAGAUUAAAAUGUUGUACGCCAGACGCGCGAUUCGUCUUCGAAGCCACACAGGUGUAUUUGCAUAAUAGCUAUAUAACACCAACUGAUCAUAUAAAAAAAGUAUAAAAAAACGAACUCAAAAGUAAAUUCAAGAAGGGAAAGUCAAUCAAAACUGACAUAAUGUUUCGCUUGUGUCAAAUUUUUAUGGAUUUUAUAUUGUAUUUUAAUGCAUUUUCAAACACAUUAAACAUUACUAGUAUUCAAAAUGUUCAAUAGUGUUUAACAUCAUUUAUUUACUUAGUUCUCCCUUCUUGUGAAUUCUACAAUCUUUAUGAUUUUAUAGUUCAGCCAGCCCAGCAGUGAUUAUUUCUUCAAAUUUUUACAAGAUAUCCAGAUUUUGAUAUUGACACUUCACAUAAGGUCAUAGAGUUGUUUUUCUCAUAUAUUUUUAUCUUCAUGUAUAUAUUGAACGGUCAAGUAUAACACCUUUCUAUUAACACAAUAUUUAAUGGGUUUCAAAUAAUGUGGUGUUAAGAAUAAAAAGCACUAUCAAUCUU